rnacentral:rRNA from 1 species
UACGAAGGGGGCUAGCGUUGCUCGGAAUCACUGGGCGUAAAGCGCACGUAGGCGGCCUUGCAAGUCGGAUGUGAAAUCCCACGGCUCAACCGUGGACGUGCAUCCGAAACUGCUCGGCUCGAGUAUGGAAGAGGGUCGCGGAAUUCCCGAUGUAGAGGUGAAAUUCGUAGAUAUUCGGAAGAACACCAGUGGCGAAGGCGACUCACUGGACACAUAUUGACGCUGAGGUGCGAAAGCGUGGGGAGCAAACAGG